rnacentral:rRNA from 1 species
GCGGCGUGCCUAACACAUGCAAGUCGAACGAGGUCCAAGGGAGCUUGCUCCCUGAAGACCUAGUGGCGAACGGGUGAGUAACACGUGAGAAACCUGCCCUCGAGUGGGGAAUAACCCGGGGAAACCCGGGCUAAUACCGCAUACGCUCCUCUGGGCGCAUGGCCGGAGGAGGAAAGUUUUUCGCUCAAGGAGGGUCCUGCGGCCGAUUAGGUAGACGGCGGGGUAACGGCCCACCGUGCCGAUGAUCGGUAGCUGGUCUGAGAGGACGGCCAGCCACACGGGGACUGAGAGACGGCCCCGACUCCUACGGGAGGCAGCAGCAAGGAAUCUUCCGCAAUGGGCGAAAGCCUGACGGAGCAACGCCGCGUGGGGGAUGAAGCUUUUCGGAGUGUAAACCUCUUUUCUCGGGGACGAAGAUCUGACGGUACCCGAGGAAUAAGGACCGGCUAACUACGUGCCAGCAGCCGCCGUAA